rnacentral:rRNA from 1 species
UACGUAGGGGGCAAGCGUUGUCCGGAAUCAUUGGGCGUAAAGAGCGUGUAGGCGGCUUGGCAAGUCUGACGUGAAAGCCCGCGGCUCAACCGCGGAUUGUCGUUGGAAACUGCCUCGCUAGAGUCCGGAAGAGGAGAGCGGAAUUCCUGGUGUAGCGGUGGAAUGCGUAGAUAUCGUAAGGAAGACCAGUGGCGAAGGCGGGUCUCUGGACAGUUCCUGACGCUGAGGCACGAAGGCCAGGGGAGCAAACGGG